CAGGCUUAACACAUGCAAGUCGAGGGGCAGCGGGAUGUAGCAAUACAUGCCGGCGACCGGCGGAUGGGUGCGUAACGCGUAUGCAACCUACCUAUACAGGGGAAUAACCUUUCGAAAGGGAGACUAACACCCCAUAGUAUUGAUUUAAGGCAUCUUAGAUUAAUUAAAUAUUUAUAGGUAUAAGAUGGGCAUGCGUAUGAUUAGCUAGUUGGUAAGGUAACGGCUUACCAAGGCGACGAUCAUUAGGGGUUCUGAGAGGAAGGUCCCCCACACUGGUACUGAGACACGGACCAGACUCCUACGGGAGGCAGCAGUGAGGAAUAUUGGUCAAUGGGGCGCAAGCCUGAACCAGCCAUGCCGCGUGCAAGGAAGACGGCCUUAUGGGUUGUAAACUGCUUUUACAUAAGACUAACCGUAUAUUUGCGAAUAUACCUGAAUGUAUUAUGAGAAUAAGGAUCGGCUAACUCCGUGCCAGCCGCGGC
rnacentral:rRNA from 1 species